AACUUACAAUUCCCACGAAAACUUUUAAAAAUUGACAGUACCUCCUUUAUGUUUUAUAACGUAUCAAGAUGCUUCAACUACAGCCUCGACCCUAUCAGUGAAGUGUGCGCAGAAAACUGUGCUGAAGAAAUACAACCAGUGGUUAACAGGAAUUAUUCCAAUAAUUCUGAUGAUGAGAAAGACUCCCAUGGUUUAGAAGAGGGGGAGUAUUGUGUGGAUAAAGAAAGCGAUAAGGAUGAGCAAGAUGAAGAUAUUGGGGCUCAGCAGAAUCCAAAAUGGCCAAGGAGAUGAGGAAGGUCAGUGAAUGGAGGUGAAACUAAACAACAAACAGCAGAAGAGGAAUGCUAGAAAGGAGAGAUGGCUGGAAAAAAAUAGGCAGGAAGAAGAUGAACAUGAACAUGAA